rnacentral:pre_miRNA from 1 species
AGCUUUUUGAAUCCGUGCUGAAAUUUCGUCAGACACCAACGUAUUAGGACUGAUCAGACUUUGAAGGUAAGUGAAGUU